UACGUAGGGGGCAAGCGUUGUCCGGAAUCAUUGGGCGUAAAGCGCGUGUAGGCGGCUUGGUAAGUCCGCUCUGAAAGCCCGGGGCUCAACCCCGGGAGGCGGGUGGAUACUGUCAAGCUCGAGUCCGGAAGAGGCGAGUGGAAUUCCUGGUGUAGCGGUGAAAUGCGCAGAUAUCAGGAGGAACACCGGUGGCGAAGGCGGAUCUCUGGGCCUUGCCUGACGCUGAGGCGCGAAAGCUAGGGGAGCGAACAGG
rnacentral:rRNA from 1 species